GGGUAGAUGUCCGAGUGGUUGAAGGAGCACGCCUGGAACGCGUGUGUAGGGCAACUUACCAAGGGUUCGAAUCCCUUUCUACCCGCCA
rnacentral:tRNA from 2 species